rnacentral:rRNA from 1 species
AUUCCCUACGGGGGGCAGCAGUAGGGAAUCUUCCACAAUGGACGAAAGUCUGAUGGAGCAACGCCGCGUGAGUGAAGAAGGGUUUCGGCUCGUAAAGCUCUGUUGGUAGGGAAGAAAGAUAGAGGUAGUAACUGGCCUUUAUUUGACGGUAAUUACUUAGAAAGUCACGGCUAACUACGUGCCCGCAGCCGCGGUAAUACGUAGGUGGCAAGCGUUGUCCGGAUUUUUUGGGCGUAA